GGGUUUGUAGUUAACAAUAACAUCUGAAUUGCAUUCAGAAAGUACUCCACAGAAGUCUACCUCA
rnacentral:tRNA from 1 species